rnacentral:rRNA from 1 species
AGCAGCCGCGGUAAUUCCAGCUCCAAUAGCGUAUAUUAAAGUUGUUGCAGUUAAAAAGCUCGUAGUUGAAUUUUGGGUCUGGCCGGGCGGUCCGCCCUCUGGGUGAGCACUGUUCCGACGCCGGGCCUAUCCUUCUGGUGAGUCGGCAUGUCCUUUAUUGGGUGUGUCGGGGAACCAGGACCAUUACCUUGAAAAAAUUAGAGUGUUCAAAGCAGGCGUAUGCUCGGAUACAUUAGCAUGGAAUAAUGAAAUAGGACGCGUGGUGCUAUUUUGUUGGUUUCUAGAACCGCCGUAAUGAUUAAUAGGGAUAGUUGGGGGCAUUAGUAUUCAAUUGUCAGAGGUGAAAUUCUUGGAUUUAUUGAAGACUAACUUCUGCGAAAGCAUUUGCCAAGGAUGUUUUCAUUAAUCAAGAACGAAAGUUAGGGGAUCGAAGACGAUCAGAUACCGUCGUAGUCUUAACCAUAAACUAUGCCGACUAGGAAUCGGGCGAUGUUAUUCUCAUGACUCGCCCGGCGCCUUAUG